rnacentral:rRNA from 1 species
GUCUAUAGCCAUACCACCCUGAAUGUACCCAUUCUUGUCUGAUCUCAGAAACUAAGCAAUGUUGAGUCUGUUUAAUACUUUGAUGAAAGUUAAUUAGCAGGUCCUGAGAUC